CCCCCCCAAAAAAAAGAAAAAAGUACGGCCAAAUAGCAAUCUAUGGGGUUGGUUUAUGUUUUCAGAACAUCUUUUUUGGAAAUCCUAAGUUUGUGAAUAUUGAUUCCCGUCGAAACGAAACGGUUUGAGUUUUGUGAAAAAAGCCGAAGUCCCUUAUCGGAUUUGAACCAAUAAUCUACGUCUUACCAUGACGUUACUCUACUACUGAGUUAAAAAGGCCUAUUUGAUUCAAUUUCUAAACAAAGUCAUUCCUUCGUAAGUUUCUGAGAACGGUUUUUGAAGAUGAAAAUAGGAAUACGAAGUAGUCAAGUGAAACUUGGGAGUUAGUGUGGAUAUUUGAUUCAAUUUUUGAAUGAAGUUGUUCCUUUGUAACUUUUUUAGAGCGGUUUUUGAAGAUGAAAAUAGGAACACGAAGUAGUCAAGUGAAAGUUGGGAGUCGGUGUUUGAUUCAAUUUCUGAACGAAGUCGUUCCUUCGUAAUUUUUCGAGAACGAUUUUUGAAGACGAAAAUAGGAACAUGAAGAAGUCAAGUGAAAGUUGGGAGUUGUGUGGAUAUUUGAUUCAAUUUCUGAACGAAGUCGUUCCUUCGUAAUUUUUCGAGAACGGCUUUUGAAGACGAAAAUAAGAACACGAAGUAGUGAAUUGAAAGCUGGGAGUGUGUGGAGUAAGGGAAUUUUAUGUUUUUGGUCUGUAAUGAAGAAUAUUGUCUCCUAACUUUGCCGAAUGAUGGAUUCAAAGAAUAUAAUCUUCAAACAUUCAAAUGGGAAUAAAUUUUGAUACCUUGUAAUAAAGAAUAUGCAGAGCCACAUGCUUUUAAUUUCCCUAA